CCACCAGCCUGAGUCUCGACUAUCUCCCUGCUGCUGAAGCAUGUCCCCUGGACCUGACACGCCUGGUUCCUAAGCUGCCAGCAGCCAAAGAAGAGUAAAUAUUAACUGUGGUGGGGAAUGAUUAGUCACAUGUGGACAGCCUGCCACAGUUUCUAAGGUGCUGACCUGAAAAGGAGCUGAAAGGAAAGAAGACUGGGAUCACCUGCCCGUUGGGCUGGACGUCUUGCACGUACCUCUCCAGGUCUAACCCUGCUCUCUCCACCUGGGAUCCUGACCUCCGUGGGCUGCACGCUCAGGUUCUUUCACGCUCUGGCUUCAGCCAAGGAGGGGCACCAGCCCACGGGGAGAUCACAGAGAUGGAGGUGAGUGAAAUCAGGAAAAGUAUUUUCCCGCCCUCCUCCCUCCUGGGUCCCCCUAGGCUGGCCUUGUCCCUUAACCAAAGGCCACAGCUCGUAGCCAGUAUCUCCCAGCACAGCUGCUUACACUCUUCCAGCUUGCUCCGCCAGCCCCAGCAAGCCCGCAGAUUCUGGGAAGCGAUCCCUCCUAUUCCAGCCCAGGGGGAUCACAGUUUUUCUGGCCUAUUAGUCUGCCUGGGAUCCUGCAGCCACCCUGGUUGCUUCCUUACACCCAGCUCACACCUGGAGGUAAAGGGGUCUCACUGCCAUACGCAUGCACAUGAGCAGAAGAGCGCAAACUGAGGUGAGUCUGAGCAAGUCAGGGAUCGGUUUCUGCGAGUGCCCGCAUUUCUGUGAUCCGAGGUGGCUGCGGGGCCUGUAGUCAGGAAGGGCUUCCCUGAGAAACCGAUGUUUGAACUGACAUCACGUCCAGGGAGGUUUGGGUGGGACGUGGGGAGGCGGAGGGGGCAGGGGGUCCCAGGAAAAGGGAACAGUCUGUGCAAAGGUCCUGCCCCAUGUUCUUGGCCGCAGACCUAGUGACUCUCACACACAGGGCCUUAGCCCUUCAUUUAACAUUUGGUUAUUUGAGCUUUUAUGGGAAACACAUUUUGCCAUUUUUAAUGGCUACACACACAUAGAAGAUGUUAAAGAUAACAAUUAUGUUAAUAAAAAUCUACAGGUUUUACUUCUCCAACACAUCAAAGCUUAUUGGCAGCCCCGGCUUGGUCCAUAGCGCCUAAUACACUGGCAAAUGUACAGCUGAAGUCCAAUAAGCUCAUUGUAAUGGACUGACUGUUUGUGUCCCCCACAAAAUUCAUAGGUUCAAAUCCCUAACCCCCAAGGGAUAGUAUUAGGAGGUGGGGCCUUUGGGAGGGAACUAGGUCCUGAGGGUGAAGCUCUCAUGGGUAGGAUCAGUGUGCAUACAAGACACCCCAGAGAGCUCUCUCGGGCCCUUCUGCCACGUGAAGAUACACUGAGAAAAUGACAGUCUGCAACCCAGAAGAAGGCCCUCCCAGAACCUGACCAAGCUGGCACCCUGAUUUCUAGCCUCCAGAGUGAGGAGAAACACAUUUCUGUUGUUUAUACACCAUUCAGUCAGUCCAUGGUAUUUUCCUAUAGCAGCCGAAGCCAAGACACGCACGCAGCUGAUGGAGCGACUGGCUGAGGAACCGGAGGAUGGGGAAAACCCAGCAGAAAACAGCACUGCCUGUCAGGGGCGGCUGGCAUGUGAAAGGCAGGUGAGCUGACUUCCAGCGAAGUCUGAGGUUGACCUUGGACAAAUUAAACUUAUCUCCAGAUACUAUUUGCUCAGGUCUCAGGCCCUAAGAUAGGAGAUAAGCGAGAGUUAUUUUGGUCGCCCAAAAGCUUCACAGAAGAGCUGGGACACAGUGGUAACCACCCUUCCCAGGGCAACAUGUGAAAUUCAGCCUCGGGUGUGAGGUUUCUUCCGCGCAGCUCAUCAAAGAAGACUGGAAGCUUCCGUACAACCCACAGGUGGGAGAAGGUUCAGGAGAAAAGGACAGAGGAGGAAACAGAGAGAAAGGUGGAAGACAUUAUUAGUCUGCCACCAUAGAGCACACACCAGUUUAUACAAAUGAGGGUCGGGCACCUGCCAAACCUGGGAAAGUCAUAAUCCUCCACUGGAUCGGAGCCCUGCGUGUGAUUAUCAGUUACAAGAUCUUGUGUCCAUCAAUGUUUCCUUGUUUUAUAACCCAUGGAAGAAUUGUGACUCAUGAAUCUCGGAUCCUAAGAAACAUUUUGUGCCCAGAGGUACAUCCCGAAAAAAAUCGAAGCAGGAUCCCAAGUCACAUGGCCCCUCAAUGUCUAUCUUCUUGAGGACAAUGCCUGAGGUGGGUGCAAAGAUAACAACACUGACGUUCAGAGGAUCAGGUGAUGUCAACGGGUUCAGGGAACCACUUGAUGUUCAACACAUUCGACGGCAAGAGGCGGGACUUUGGACACUAGGAAUUGUGAAGUCCCAGUCUUUAACUCUGUGGUGGUAAUACUCUAUGGCUGCGUUUGUCCUUUACCUCCUAUCCCAGCACACCCAAAUAAUGAUAGGUCAAUAGCACAAGACGAAGGGAGACUUUCUUUCUCUGGCCACCCCAAGUAACCAAGAGGAAUCAAAGAGGACCGCUCACUGGAGGGCUCUGAGCAGUCUUCAAGCUCACCUUGGUGUAGUUUCUAAAUAUAACAGGCAGCCAGAAGCUUUGAGUAACUCUUGGCUGAUUUGGCUUCCCUGGGAUAAACUUUUUUUUUCUCCUCAGAUUAUGCUAUACCAGGAACAGAGCCCUAAGGGGGGAAAUUCUUCUUCAAAGUCACAGCAAGAUAACACUGUGUGUGGUAUUCAGGUUGUUCUCCUUUGGAAGGAGGAAAAAAAAAAAAGUGGGAGGCAAACUUCUAACAUCAGCCAACAUCAAAAAGGAUAUCCCUACUUUGCAAGUGUGGUGUGCGCAGAGGGGAGGCGAAGCAAGAGGGGGAAGAGGGUCAGGUGAAAGGCAAUUAACACAUCCUGGUGCCAGGCUGGCAAGGAGCAGGAGCGUGGGCAACAGGGUCAGGUAGUCCAGGUGGCAGUGGGCACCAUGGAGGUGCAUGAGCCAGCAGGCACUGGCAGCUGUCCCUGUGCUGGUCCUACCGGGAAAGUCACAGCAUGCAAGGCAGCCAUGAUGCCCGCUCCCCGGGAGGUGGGCUCAGGUACAGCUCUGACUCCAUUUCUCUGCUAGACAGCAGACACUAAUUUUACUUUGCCCCCUGGCUUUUGCUGCUCCUUCGGUCGAGGGAAAUUUGGUGUGCCAUUAAAAUUGCCUAGAACAUAUGCAGACAUUGAUGUCUUCUCUUAUGCACCAAUACAAAACACUUCCCUCCUUAUUUUUUAGUGCAAGACUCUCUAUUUCCCAACACGACAAUGUAUUUGAGUAUUAGAGAUGCA